AUAUUUGCUUUAAAGGCACAAAAGGCCUAUUAAUUACAUUCUAUUACUUGCUUAUUGGGGUAUAUAAAACAUAGACUAGGAAUGCAAGAAAAGCUGACUUUCGCACAGCAAUCCUCAUACUGAGUUUCCUCAGACAAAUUUCCAAGUCUACAAAAGGUGCACAGGUGGUUAAAAUUGAAUCAGGUGUGCACAUGUCCCUAAAGACCAGCAGCAACCUAACCAAGUUUAUUCAAUAAUGAUCCUUCCGCAGGUUCACCUACGGAAA
rnacentral:misc_RNA from 1 species